rnacentral:rRNA from 1 species
AUACGUAGGUGACAAGCGUUAUCCGGAUUUACUGGGCGUAAAGGGCGUGUAGGCGGUCUUGCAAGUCAGAAGUGAAAUUCCUGAGCUCAACUCGGGCGCUGCUUCUGAAACUGCAGGACUUGAGUGCUGGAGGGGAUAGCGGAAUUCCUAGUGGAGCGGUAAAAUGCGCAGAUAUUAGGAAGAACACCGGUGGCGAAGGCGGCUAUCUGGACAGUAACUGACGCUGAGGCGCGAAAGGUUGGGGAGCAAACAGGAUUAGAUCCCCUGGUAGUCAACGCCGUAAACGAUGAAUACUAGGUGUAGGGGUAUCGACUCCCUCUGUGCCGCAGUUAACACAAUAAGUAUUCCGCCUGGGGAGUACGGCCGCAAGGUUGAAACUCAAAUGAAUUGGCGGGG